rnacentral:rRNA from 1 species
ACACACGUGCUACAAUGGUGGUAACAAAGUGACGCGACCCCGUGAGGGCAAGCCAACCACAAAAAAGCCAUCUCAGUUCGGAUUGUAGUCUGCAACCCGACUACAUGAAGCUGGAAUCGCUAGUAAUCGCGAAUCAGAAUGUCGCGGUGAAUACGUUCCCGGGUCUUGUACACACCGCCCGUCACACCAUGGAAGUUGGGGGCGCCCGAAGUUGCCUAAGAAAUAAGGUACCUAAGGCGAAACCAAUGACUGGGGUGAAGUCGUAACAAGGUACC